GAGAGAGAGAGAGCGAGAGCGAGAGAAAGAGAAAGAGAAAGAGAGAGAGAGAGAGAGAGAGAAAGAGAAAGAGAGAGAGAGAGAGAGAGAGAGAGAGAGAGAGAGAUGGAGGGUGUGGUCACCACAAGGCACAAGUGUGUGUGUCUCUCACAUCUUGGUUGUUGAGGAACCAGCCCUUCCCCAGGAACUUCCAGACAUCAGAAUGUACCCUGAAAAACAAUGUGUACAGCAGUGAGAGUUGGUGACGUUUAAGAUGAAGGACCUCAGCCCCAGGACCAUGCACCAGGACUACCUGACAUGAUGACUCCUUGCUGUCCCCAGUCCAUCUGACCGUGCUGCUGCUCCAGUUUCAACUGUUCUGCCUUAUUAUUAUACGACCAUGCUGGUCAUUUAUGAACAUUUGAACAUCUUGGCCAUGUUCUGUUAUAAUCUCCACCCGGCACAGCCAGAAGAGGACUGGCCACCCCACAUAGCCUGGUUCCUCUCUAGGUUUCUUCCUAGGUUUUGGCCUUUCUAGGGAGUUUUUCCUAGCCACCGUGCUUCUACACCUGCAUUGCUUGCUGUUUGGGGUUUUAGGCUGGGUUUCUGUACAGCACUUUGAGAUAUCAGCUGAUGUACAAGGGCUAUAUAAAUAAAUUUGAUUUGAUUUGAUUUGAAGUGUGCGGCACAGACGUUCGUAUUGGAAUUUGGCCCGGAACAGGAACUCCAUACAUGGGCACCGACAGUCAUAUUGAACCGAGGCCCUGAAGCAGGAACUCCAUAUAAGGCUCCAGGCACCCAUAUUGGAGCGCGGCCUAUUAAAAAGAAAUUUCACAUAUGGACAUAGAGCCAUGACCAUCCAAUCUGCUCAACUGCAUCCAAUCAUCAUUAGCCACAAGCCACAACUGUAGGAAGCAUUGGGGUCAACAUGGACCAGCAUUACUGUGGAACGCUUUCGACCCCUUGUAGAGUCCAUGCCCCAACAAAUUGAGACUGUUCUGAGGGCAAAAGUUGGGGAUGUAACUCAAUAUAAGGUGUUCCUAAUGUUAUGUAUACUCAGCUAGCACAUCAAUUGUGAAAAAUUGGAUUGUGACUAAAACUUGGCCAUUACAUGCUUUAAAUGGUGCUGUCCAACUGCUGACAUGAAUAUAUCUAAUCACUUGGGUACCCUGACUGGGACUCAAACCCUGGGACCUGCGACUGUCAUUCUGAAACCAUUCCCAAAAGGCUAAAAACUCUUGCUGAAGUCGAUAGGUGUUGUACGAAUGUUGUUUAGUAUUUUUACAAUAGGUUCAACUUCUAUUGUGUUGUCUUUUAUUAGCUUGCUUGUAUUGCUAUCAAUAACAAUGACAACAAUGAUAAUCCAAUUUAUGAUGUUAAAAACGUAAUUGGUUUCGAAACAACAACAUAAACUCUUGUCUCCAGUCCAGACACAUCUUGAAUAAUAGGUCUGACACAGAUUUAGACGUGACAGUAAGCGACCAACUUCCCCAUUAUAUAAACAUCAUCACAAGGUAAACAGUGGUAAACACCACUCAGAAACACACAAAGGCUAAUUAUCCAGUCCCAAUACCCCAGAGGCAUUUCCUCCAAAGCAACUAAGAACCACUUGCAUCCUGUUAAGCCAUCUUGCUGGGCAAAACAAAAGAUCUAGAGCAUUCCCAAAGACGUACCCUUCCCUUCCCCCUCCUCCCACCACCCCUUUGGCCAACCCUGUAGGUUCAAACCUCAGUGCGUGCAGGAAGAGUGUGAUCAGAAGAGACAAACCAACACCGCUCGGUGCAGGUGUAGACGCCAUGUGCCGAAAGGUAGAAAUUCUUCUACAACAAAAGGAGCUCUGAAAGGUCGCUAAGAAAAUAAAAGGAAGGCUGUGCAAACACAACGCAGCCUGUGACCUGAGAAUAAAAAAAACGUGCUUCUGUCACGGUCGUUCCAUCCUGUUUCCUUAUCUCAAGUGGUUAUACUUGUGCUGUAGCCAGGUAGCCUGGAUUACAUUUGUGUCGUGAUGUAAACAUGGUUGCCGUUUUAGUUGUUUUCUUCCACAAUCCUUAUUGUUUUUCAAAGAAAAUGAAAUGGCUCUGUUUAUUGUGCUUUUCUCUGCACGGUUAAAUCCAGAUUGGAGCUGUGCAAGCACAUGACAUAGCAGGUGACCUGAGAAUGAAACUAGAUUUGUUUGAUUAACAGUCAUUCGUCCUGUUUUCGUAUCUCAAGUGGUUAUACUUGUAUUGUCUGCAGUGUCACCUGCUACCAGCGUUGCCAAGACGCCAGGUAGAUAUAACAUGAUAUAACAUGUUGAGUGAAAGAGAGAAAAGGCUGAGAAAGCGAGAGAGAGAGAGAGAUUUUGCGUUUGCUACAUAUGACACAAAUGACCCGUGAAUUGAUGUGGUUAUAAACCUCUCUAUAAUUCUCAGUCAUGUAUUUAUGUCACACAAUAUGGGAUUAGGUGUACAAACAUAUACAAUGCAGCCCAGAUCAGUCCUACAACAUUGUAUUUACCAAGCUCUGUUUUAAAAGGCAUUGUACUAAAGGGCCUUGCAGCCAACACGACUUCUGCAUCCUUUGCUUUUGUGGCAUUGGGCAGUCACUGUUCCACAUUUUUUGAUGUUACAGCCUGAAUUUAAAAUUGAUUAAAUUGUAGAUCACACAAAUGCCCAAUAAUGUCAAAGUGGAAUUUUGUUUGUAGAUUUUCUAAAUUAAUCAAAAAUGAAAAGUUGAAAUGUCUUAAGUCAGUAAUUAUUCAACCGCUUUCUUGUGGCAAGCCUAAAUGAGUUCAGGAUUACAAACGUGCUUUAAAAAAUCAUGUAAUAGUUUGCAUGCACUAAUUCUUUGUUCAAUAAUAGUUGUUGACAUGAUUUUUGAAUGACUACUCCAUCUCUGUACCCCACACAUACGGGUCCCUCAAUCCAGUAGUGAAUUUCAAGCACAGAUUCAACUACAAAGACCAGGGAGGUUUUUCAAUGCCUCGCAAAGAAGGGCACCGAUUGGUUUGUGAAUAUAAAAAAUAUUCCUUUGAGCAUGGUGAAGUUAUUAAUUAGGCUUUGGAUGGUGUAUCAAUAAACCCAGACACUACAAAGAUACAGGAGUCCUUUCUUACUCAGUUGCUGGAGAAACUGCUCAGGGUUUUUACCAUGAGGCCAUUGGUGAUUUUAAAACAGUUACAGAGUUUAAUAGUUGUGAUAUGAGAAAACAGA
ensembl:lncRNA